UGAAACUCACCCCGGGAUGGAUAUAAAAAUUGCCCUUCCCUUCUAUGUACACGUCACGGGUGAGGUUCACGUCAGAGACUAUCUGACAAGUGGUAUCCAGAGAGCCUAUGCCACCGAGAUCAUCGGUGCAAGAAACCGACGGCGCGUGCGGCGGCGGAGGCGGUGGAGACGGAGGGGAGUAAUCCUGGUGAAAGAGAUUGGAAUCGAAAUCGAUUAUUGAUAAAUAAUCCUCCGUACUCGAGGAGAGAACGAGGUUAGGUUUUAUAAUUAGCGUGGUGGUUACGAGAAUGGCGAAAUGGAAGAGAGUGAAAGAGUGAAAUCGAGCCAUUCACUGGUGAUAAAAGUCAUUAGAAUUGAAGGUCAAGAUUCUGCAAAUGGAAGCAUAAGCAUAUCAACAUUAAGACCACCAUUGAAGGCAGAGGAAGGGAAGUUGCUUCAAUUUCUUGCGAUGAAGUUGAAGAGUAAACCCUAGAAAUGGCUCCUCUGCAAUUAAGAUUUGAGUUUUUCGAGAG
rnacentral:misc_RNA from 1 species